GUGGGGAAUUUUGGACAAUGGGCGCAAGCCUGAUCCAGCAAUGCCGCGUGCAGGAAGAAGGCCUUCGGGUUGUAAACUGCUUUUGUACGGAACGAAACGGUCCUGGUUAAUACCUGGGGCUAAUGACGGUACCGUAAGAAUAAGCACCGGCUAACUACGUGCCAGCAGCCGCGGUAAUACGUAGGGUGCGAGCGUUAAUCGGAAUUACUGGGCGUAAAGCGUGCGCAGGCGGUGCUUUAAGACAGGCGUGAAAUCCCCGGGCUCAACCUGGGAAUUGCGCUUGUGACUGCAGUGCUGGAGUACGGCAGAGGGGGAUGGAAUUCCGCGUGUAGUAGUGAAAUGCGUAGAUAUGCGGAGGAACACCGAUGGCGAAGGCAGUCCCCUGGGCCUGUACUGACGCUCAUGCACGAAAGCGUGGGGAGCAAACAGGAUUAGAUACCCUGGUAGUCC
rnacentral:rRNA from 1 species